AACGAACGCUGGCGGCAUGCCUAACACAUGCAAGUCGAACGAGACCUUCGGGUCUAGUGGCGCACGGGUGCGUAACGCGUGGGAACCUGCCCUUAGGUUCGGAAUAACUCCCCGAAAGGGGUGCUAAUACCGGAUAAUGUCUUCGGACCAAAGAUCUAUCGCCUUUGGAUGGGCCCGCGUUGGAUUAGCUAGUUGGUAGGGUAAAAGCCUACCAAGGCGACGAUCCAGAGCUGGUCUGAGAGGAUGAUCAGCCACACUGGGACUGAGACACGGCCCAGACUCCUACGGGAGGCAGCAGUGGGGAAUAUUGGACAAGGGGCGAAAGCCUGAUCCAGCAAUGCCGCGUGAGUGAUGAAGGCCUUAGGGUUGUAAAGCUCUUUUACCCGGGAUGAUAAUGACAGUACCGGGAGAAUAAGCACCGGCUAACUACGUG
rnacentral:rRNA from 1 species